UGGAAUUCCACGUGUAGCGGUGAAAUGCGUAGAGAUGUGGAGGAACACCAGUGGCGAAGGCGACUCUCUGGUCUGUAACUGACGCUGAGGAGCGAAAGCGUGGGGAGCGAACAGGAUUAGAUACCCUGGUAGUCCACGCCGUAAACCAUGAGUGCUAAGUGUUAGGGGGUUUCCGCCCCUUAGUGCUGCAGCUAACGCAUUAAGCACUCCGCCUGGGGAGUACGGUCGCAAGACUGAAACUCAAAGGAAUUGACGGGGGCCCGCACAAGCGGUGGAGCAUGUGGUUUAAUUCGAAGCAACGCGAAGAACCUUACCAGGUCUUGACAUCCUCUGACAAUCCUAGAGAUAGGACGUCCCCUUCGGGGGCAGAGUGACAGGUGGUGCAUGGUUGUCGUCAGCUCGUGUCGUGAGAUGUUGGGUUAAGUCCCGCAACGAGCGCAACCCUUGAUCUUAGUUCCCAGCAUUCAGUUGGGCACUCUAAGGUGACUGCCGGUGACAAACCGGAGGAAGGUGGGGAUGACGUCAAAUCAUCAUGCCCCUUAUGACCUGGGCUACACACGUGCUACAAUGGACAGAACAAAGGGCAGCGAAACAGCGAGGUUAAGCCAAUCCCACAAAUCUGUUCUCAGUUCGGAUCGCAGUCUGCAACUCGACUGCGUGAAGCUGGAAUCGCUAGUAAUCGCGGAUCAGCAUGCCGCGGUGAAUACGUUCCC
rnacentral:rRNA from 1 species